rnacentral:rRNA from 1 species
GUUAGAACGCUCGUAGUCGGAUUUCGGGGCGGGCCGACCGGUCUGCCGAUGGGUACGCACUGGUCGGCGCGUCCUUCCUUCCGGAGACCGUGCCUACUCUUAACUGAGCGGGGGCGGGAGACGGAACGUUUACUUUGAAAAAAUCAGAGUGUUUCAAGCAGGCAGCUCGCUCUUGCAUGGAUUAGCAUGGGAUAAUGAAAUAGGACUUUGGUGCUAUUUUGUUGGUUUCGAACACCGAAGUAAUGAUGAGAAGGGACAGUCAGGGGCACUCGUAUUCCGCCGAGAGAGGUGAAAUUCUCAGACCAGCGGAAGACGAACCACUGCGAAAGCAUUUGCCAGGGAUGUUUUCACUGAUCAAGAACGAAAGUUAGGGGAUCGAAGACGAUCAGAUACCGUCGUAGUCUUAACCAUAAACCAUGCCGACUAGGGAUUGGAGGAUGUUUAUUGAAUGACUCCUUCAGCACCUUACGGGAAACUAAAGUCUUUGGGUUCCGGGGGGAGUAUGGUCGCAAGGCUGAAACUUAAAGGAAUUGACGGAAGGGCACCACCAGGUGUGGAGCCUGCGGCUUAAUUUGACUCAACACGGGGAAACUUACCAGGUCCAGACAUUGUGAGGAUUGACAGAUUGAGAGCUCUUUCUUGAUUCGAUGGGUGGUGGUGCAUGGCCGUUCUUAGUUGGUGGAGUGAUUUGUCUGGUUAAUUCCGUUAAC